UUUCCUAGUUCAUAUACAUGUUACCAUGUAGUUCUCUGCAGGUUCCCAAGAUAGUUUCCUUUAGAAACAAAAUAAUACCUUGCACAUUGCCUGGUUCAUUAUUUACUUUGCCCUUUGCUCACACGGCUUCUGCUCCGUUUCUCUGGCACUGGGGUUAACCAGUGGCUCCACAGUUCAACAGGGAAUUCUUCUUAUUUUUUAAUGUAGCCUAAUGCUUCUGGUUUUAAAUAGAGAGACAGUUAAAGUGAUACUGAACAGUUUGCUUUUUUGCUUUUGUUGAUACUGGUUUGCUAUGAUUCAUCAGACUUUUAAUUACUUCAACAGAUAAACAAGAAUUUCAGUUAUGUUAAGUUCUGUGUUUUCUAAACCAAGACCAAAGGGGAAGGCUUAUGGUAUGAUCAAGAGUACAAAGGGAACUAUUAGGCAAUGUCUGCUUUACUUUCUAUUCAAGUUUGAACUGUGUAGGAAUUCAGAUGAAACAAUUUAAAUAUUAGAACACUUGAGAAUAAAAAAUGUUUCAGAAU
rnacentral:lncRNA from 1 species